CGCAACACUGGAAAACAGGAAGCUGGAGAAAGCCUUGGAGAAGGUUGUAGAAAAAGCCGUAUAUUACAGGAAGCUCUUUUCUCUGUGCCCAGAGGAGAUGCAGAGGGGGCCGCAUGAACAUGGUAGGCUCAGAACUGGAGUUGGUUCCUGUUCAUGGCAUUUUGCUUCUCAGCUCAACGAGAUUAUUUCUUGUUGAGGGUUUUUACUCAGCUUAACUUAAAAAAAAAGUUUCUUCUUAAGCCCGAGAGGGAAGAGAGAAGGCAGAGGAAGAAAGUCAAACGGCAGGCCUGCUUGUCCAGACUGGGUGGGAGAGUCGUGAGAUCCUGGACCAGACCGCUCAGCUUAUCCGUCUGAAACAGAAUUACCUCCUACCAUGGAGGCUGGAAUGCAGAAGAUGCCACAUGGUAUGUCAGAGGAAGAGCUGAGUCUGGAAGCCAGACCCACUGACUCCACCGUAUUAUGGUUGAUUUCCCACCAGAUCAGGUGGCUACCAGCUCUGCGUAACUGCAUCUUCACUGUUUAAUCUUUGUGCUUUGAAUGGAGUUGACUGAAGCUCUGGCCCCAUAGAGUUUGUGCAGAGGCCCCACAAGGUGAGAAAAAUGCAAUUAGGUUCCAAGUAAAAUGCUGUCAUAAAAUGAAGUGCUGGGCUGUUGAUGAAGAGCAUGCCACUGAGAUAGCACAAGGGGUUUUGCCAGCACCAGUGACCGUCUGUCCACGUCUAGCCCAUACAGCAGGUCGGAGAGAGUUGCCAGGGCUACGUCUCUCCCCCAGUGUGCUGGGGGAGGCUGGUAUUGCUUCUCUUCACCUUACGCCCAGGGAAAGGAGCUUCAAGGGGAACUCUUGGAAAGCUUGACCUGUGAUCUCUGGAAUUUACAAAGCAUAAGACUCCUAUUGAGCAGAGAUCACAGGGGAUCUUCUUUGAGUGAUGCUGUGAGCUUGGCUGCAUGGGGAGUGAACUGCAUGGGGCAAAGAUGCCUGUUUUCCUGGCUUGAAGUAAAGAGCCAGCCUGUGUGUGUGUGUGUGUGUGUGACACACGCACACGCCUGCAUGUAUGUGUGCUCCAAGGACUUCCUCUCAAAAGGACUUCUGGAAAAGACAAAAAGACUGUGCGGCAGGGAGUCCAUGUGGGGUGGGUGGAUGGAGAAGAGCAGUGCAAAGUUUCCCAGCUGGAGGAUUUCUGAAAAACUGUUAAACUGACCCAUGGAAGAACACACUCCACGUGCCAGGGGACCCAACAUCAAAUUACAAUGGUCCGUAUGGACUUCCCUUGUGCCUCAGCUGGUAAAGAAUCUGCCUGUAAUGCGGGAGACCUGGGUUCGAUCCCUGAGUUGGGAAGAUCCCCUGGAGAAGGGAGAGGCUAUCCACUCCAGUAUUCUGGCCUGGAGAAUUCCAUGGACUGUAUAGUCCAUGGGGUCGCAAAGAGUCAGACACGAAUGAGCGACUUUCACUUUCACUAUGCCUACUGGGCCCUUUCCUUCUUCACCUCUCUCCCUCUGAGCCAGCGCCCAGACAGCCAGAAACCAUUUCUAGAAACACAUGGAGUGGGGAGGAGUCGAGGAGGGGGGCAGAGGGAUGAAGGUGGCUGACCAUGCCCAUGCCCUCACUGCAGGCUCUAAGUCUGAAGCUGGGGUCACCAAGAAGGGAGACAUUUUCCCUUGAAGGAAUUUCAUUGAGUUUUGGUGAUUAUAUUGGAUAACCUGCUUUAAUGAGGGAAGUGAAAUUGUUCUUGACCUGAGGAGACUAGGAAGCCAUGGGGCCAGCUUGACUACUGUCUCAGGCUGUGGGUAAGGGAUUCAGAAAGAGCUGAGCUGGACAGAGGAGAAAGACUCAAGUUGUUUUAUGAUUGCAUCCUAUCCCAUAUACCCCAUUCAGUACGGUGAUUACAUUGGCAAAUUUAAUGUCCCUCCUUAUAACAAUGCUCUGAAGGCGAGAUAUUUGCCAGAAUUCUUAAAGAAGGAUUUAGGUCAACCUCUUUGCAGUCUGUGGGUCUCCAUGGGGUCUCGGAAAACUUUCUGCUUCUUCUCCAU
ensembl:lncRNA